UUGAAUUUAAUGUAGAGUUGGUUGUAGCUGGCCUAAUUAAUAAUUUGGGCAUGUGCACACCUUCUCUUUCAUCCACACACACCUGUGCACCUGUGAGACAGAGUGGGAAUUUUAAUUUAAUUUAAUUGGACCCUCUGUCUACUUAAUUCACACAGACUCUAUUUAUUAUAAAAUGAAUGUAAUUGAUGUAACGCAUCUAAUAC
rnacentral:misc_RNA from 1 species